rnacentral:rRNA from 1 species
GACCCCGCACAAGCGGCGGAGCAUGCGGCUUAAUUCGAUGAUACGCGAGGAACCUUACCAGGGCUUAAAUGCAGAGCGACAGAGGUGGAAACACCUCCUUCUUCGGACGGUCUGCAAGGUGCUGCAUGGUUGUCGUCAGCUCGUGCUGUGAAGUGUCGGGUUAAGUCCCAUAACGAGCGCAACCCCUAUUUCUAGUUGCCAGCGGUUCGGCCGGGGACUCUAGAGAAACUGCCAGCGUAAGCUGUGAGGAAGGUGGGGAUGACGUCAAAUCAUCACGGCCCUUACGUCCUGGGCUACACACGUGCUACAAUGGUGAGGACAGAGAGUUGCCAACCCGCGAGGGUGAGCUAAUCUUCAAACCCUAUCUCAGUUCGGAUCGGAGUCUGCAACUCGACUCCGUGAAGUUGGAAUC